rnacentral:rRNA from 1 species
AAUCUUCCACAAUGGACGGAAGUCUGAUGGAGCAACGCCGCGUGAGCGAAGAAGGUUUUCGGAUCGUAAAGUUCUGUUGUAAGGGAAGAACACGUACGGGAGUCACUGCCCGUACCUUGACGGUACCUUAUCAGAAAGCCACGCCUACCUCCCUGCAAGCACCCGCGGUAAUACGUUGGUGGCAAGCGUUGUCCGGAAUUAUUGGGCGUAAAGCGCGCGCAGGCGGUCCUUUAAGUCUGAUGUGAAAGCCCACGGCUCAACCGUGGAGGGUCAUUGGAAACUGGAGGACUUGAGUACAGAAGAGGAAAGCGGAAUUCCACGUGUAGCGGUGAAAUGCGUAGAGAUGUGGAGGAACACCAGUGGCGAAGGCGGCUUUCUGGUCUGUAACUGACGCUGAGGCGCGAAAGCGUGGGGAGCAAACAG